GCAAGCUCGGCUGAAGGCCCGCGUCGUAAACUGGGACACCGAGGCGUGGCAGCGAGACCCCGCCUUCUCGGGUCUGCAGAGGGUCGGGGGCGUUGACGUGUCCUUCGUGAAAGGGGACAGUGUCCGCGCUUGUGCCUCCUUGGUGGUGCUCAGCUUCCCUGAGCUCGAGAGACAGGGUCUCACUAUGUUGCCCAGGGUGGUCUCCAGCUCCUGGGCUCAAGGGAUCCUCCCACGUUGGCCUCCCCAAGUGCUGAGAUUACAGGCACGAACCACCACACCCAGCCCAGAAGUCCUCUUAGAACAUUGAAGUGCCCUUCUCAUGACCUCAUGGUGAAUAAAGUUCCCUCUCGUUGGCAUGGCUUCAAGGCCUCUUAU
rnacentral:sRNA from 1 species